GGCUGGGUAGCUCAGUUGGUUAGAGCAUUGUCCUGAUACGCCAAAGUUGUGGGUUCAAUCCCUGGUCA
rfam:Myotis brandtii contig290555, whole genome shotgun sequence.